UAUUUAUCAAACUUUGUAAUAUAUUUAUGUCGUUUGGAACAGUUGUGUACUACUAAUAAUUUUAAUGGCUAACUAUUCAAUCUGGAAGAAAUUAUGAACAUAAGAGAAUUACAAAUAUAGGUAAUUAAAAACAUAAACAUAUAUUUCAAAUAACAUACAUAUUUUUGUUGCAGAGAAGUAUCAUAAGGUGAUGAAUAAAGCAUAAAGACAUAUUUCAUUUGGGUGAAAUCUAUGGGGGGCAUUCUCUUUGAUGACGAAAAAGCAGCAAUAUAAAAUGUAUGUUAAAGAAGUGUUCAUUUACCUAUUUUCAAAUGAAUAGGUAUCAAAUCACUGUGGCAUUUAGAUUUCAUUGGACAAAUUUAUAAAGAGAUGCAAUCGUUUUGUUUUUAAAUGUUAUUAUUUACAAUACACUGGAAAUAUCGCCCUUUGCAAUUAUUUAAAUUUAUGAUGAAAAAUUUUAGAGGACAACUUAAAAAUGUGUGGAUGGGUACUUAGCUUUCAAUCUUUUGGGAAGUAAGUAAUCCAAAAAGUUUGAAGAUCACUAUUAUAAGGAACGUGCAAAAUGCAGCUUGCCUAAGGCUAGUGCUCUGCUUACAGCACACACCAAAGAGUGGUUGGGGAGGAAUGGGGAGCAGUGAAGAAGGGGAAAUUAGUAUAGUAUGUGUAGUACAGUGGAUGUGACAGAGGGGCGCUGGAAGACUGAGAGACAGAGAGGGCUUUGCCGGCCUUAGCAGGAAGGGAAGUGGCUCUUGAAACAAGCGCCAGAAAAACAAAAUGGCGACUAUUAUCAAAAGGGUUCAACUCCAUGAAGGUCUGGCCGGAUUAGUGACGGUGGCUACCUCUGUGCCCCUCACUAACCAGACUUCCUUGCCAAUGGGAAGCACAGGCUGGAGACCAGAGAGUGGAAGGUGAGAGAGGUAGUGGCCUUUACCCUCCUUGCUGUUUCCUUGUCAGGCUGCAUGUUAGCCAUGGCCAUGUUCCUCUAUUGAAGACCCUCUCCUAUAGCUACAGCAUUACCUAUAAUUCUGUGGGAUCAGGUAACCUCUUCCCUUCUUCCAGCAGAUUUGGGAUUGGGAUGGGACGAGGGCAGAGGCGGUUAUUGGCUCCUUGCUUUGGCAGCUCUGGGAUGCUCCACCAAUGCUUGCUCAUGUCCCUUAGUUUGCCCACACUUUUGUUAAUCGUCCCUUCGUUAAGUUCUCCUUUUUACCUCAUUUGAGUGUUCCCUUUCUUUCCUGCUGCAACUAUAACUGAUCCAUUUUUACUUGUCCCAUUUUACAGAGAAGACAUCUGAGGCUCAAAGAGAUUGAGUAAUUUGUUCAAACUCAUCCAGCUAAUUUGUCAGAGUCAGGAUUUAAAACCAGUUCUGUGUGACUCUAAAACCUUACGCUUUCCAAUACUUACCCAUCUAUACUGGUAGUUAAUGGUGGAACUGCAAUUUGAACCCAAAUUUGGAAUCCCUCUCUAGGUUUCUUUACAUGAAGCUCCGUUAAAGAUAUUGUAUAUAUGUGUCACCCCUUCAUUAUUAGCUCUGCUUUUUUGUUCAUUGCUUUGAGGGAAAAAAUCAUAGUUUUUCUUAACAUGGAAAGAGUUAACAUGAUUUUAAAGAUUAAAUAUUUUCAGAUUGUAAAUUUAGUUAUAACCAGGAAUAAGAUAGUUUAAAAAAGACAGCCAUGGUAUUUGCUUUCAUGAGGCUUAAAGUUUACAGGAAGAGACAGACAUCAGUCAAAUAGUCAUGAAAAUAAAUGUAACAUUGUGACUGUGCUUGGUAAAUGC
rnacentral:lncRNA from 1 species